rnacentral:tRNA from 1 species
AUAGCCUAGUGGUUGGGCUACCCGCCUCUGAUGCAUAAGGUCCCGGGUUCGACUCUUGGCA